rnacentral:rRNA from 1 species
CACGUAGGGUGCGAGCGUGUCCGGAAUUAUUGGGCGUAAAGAGCUCGUAGGCGGCUUUGUCGCGUCUUCGUGAAAACCUGCAGCUCAACUGCAGGCUUGCGGUCGAUACGGGCAGGCUGGAGUUCGGUAGGGGAGACUGGAAUUCCUGGUGUAGCGGUGAAAUGCGCAGAUAUCAGGAGGAACACCGGUGGCGAAGGCGGGGUCU